GACGAACGCUGGCGGCGUGCCUAACACAUGCAAGUCGAGCGGGGUUGAGGCGAGAGGUAACUCGAGCUUCUACCUAGCGGCGGACGGGUGAGUAACGCGUGGGCAACCUGCCUCAAGGUUUGGGAUAACAGCCCGAAAGGGCUGCUAAUACCGGAUAUGCCUAUGGCCUCGCAUGGGGCUAUGAGCAAAGGGGAAACCCGCCUUGAGAUGGGCCCGCGUCCCAUCAGCUAGUUGGUGAGGUAACAGCUCACCAAGGCGACGACGGGUAGCCGGCCUGAGAGGGUGACCGGCCACACUGGGACUGAGACACGGCCCAGACUCCUACGGGGGGGCAGCAGUGGGGGAUCUUGCACAAUGGGCGAAAGCCUGAUGCAGCGACGCCGCGUGAGCGAAGAAGGCCUUCGGGUUGUAAGACUCUGUCUGGAGGGACGAACGAAAAUAGUACGGUACCUCCGGACGGAAGACCACGGCUAACUACGUGCCAGCAGCCGCGGUAACUAGUAGUCGU
rnacentral:rRNA from 1 species